CUUGCCUGCACCUGCCGGCGACCGGCGCACGGGUGAGUAACACGUAUGGAACCUGCCCGCCACAGGGGGAUAACCCGGGGAAACCCGGCCUAAUACCCCAUGCCGCCCGGACCGGGCAUCCGGACCGGGCGAAAGGAGGAAUCCGGUGGCGGCUGGGCAUGCGGCGCAUUAGCUUGACGGCGGGGUAACGGCCCACCGUGGCGACGAUGCGUAGGGGUUCUGAGAGGAAGGCCCCCCACACUGGAACUGAGACACGGCCCAGACUCCUACGGGAGGCAGCAG
rnacentral:rRNA from 1 species